rnacentral:rRNA from 1 species
AAACUUAAGAGUUUGAUUCUGGCUCAGGAUGAACGCUGGCGGCGUGCUUAACACAUGCAAGUCGAAUGUAGCAAUACAUGGCGGACGGGUGAGUAACGCGUGAGCAAUCUGCCCAUAUCUGGGGGAUAACAGUUGGAAACGACUGAUAAUA